rnacentral:snoRNA from 1 species
UGGGUCAGUGAUGACCACUGGUGUUGAAUGAGGCAUGGAUGAUGAUCACAGCUCUAAGGUCCGA